GGUGCCUUCGGGAACUGUGAGACAGGUGCUGCAUGGCUGUCGUCAGCUCGUGUUGUGAAAUGUUGGGUUAAGUCCCGCAACGAGCGCAACCCUUAUCCUUUGUUGCCAGCGGUCCGGCCGGGAACUCAAAGGAGACUGCCAGUGAUAAACUGGAGGAAGGUGGGGAUGACGUCAAGUCAUCAUGGCCCUUACGACCAGGGCUACACACGUGCUACAAUGGCGCAUACAAAGAGAAGCGACCUCGCGAGAGCAAGCGGACCUCAUAAAGUGCGUCGUAGUCCGGAUUGGAGUCUGCAACUCGACUCCAUGAAGUCGGAAUCGCUAGUAAUCGUGGAUCAGAAUGCCACGGUGAAUACGUUCCCGGGCCUUGUACACACCGCCCGUCACACCAUGGGAGUGGGUUGCAAAAGAAGUAGGUAGCUUAACCUUCGGGAGGGCGCUUACCACUUUGUGAUUCAUGACUGGGGUGAAGUCGUAACAAGGUAACCGUAGGGGAACCUGCGGUUGGAUCACCUCCUU
rnacentral:rRNA from 1 species